UACGUAGGGAGCAAGCGUUGUCCGGAAUCAUUGGGCGUAAAGCGCGCGUAGGUGGCCUCAUAAGUCCGCUGUGAAAGUCAAAGGCUCAACCUUUGAAAGCCGGUGGAUACUGUGAGGCUAGAGUACGGAAGAGGCGAGUGGAAUUCCUGGUGUAGCGGUGGAAUGCGCAGAUAUCAGGAGGAACACCAAUAGCGAAGGCAGCUCGCUGGGACGUUACUGACACUAAGGCGCGAAAGCGUGGGGAGCGAACAGG
rnacentral:rRNA from 1 species